CCAGCACUACCACUGAGACUACCUUCACAACAGCUACCACUUCAACUGAACAGACUACCACACCAACUGCCAGCACUACCACUGAGACUACCACUGCAACAGCCACCACUUCAACAGAACUGACUACCACACCAACUACCAGCACUACCACUGAGGCUACCACUGCAACAGCCACCACUACCAUUUCCACUGAAACUACAACUACCACAGCAGCCACCACUUCUACUGAGCAGACUACCAUACCAACUGUCAGCAGGACCACUGAAGCUACAACCACAACAGCCACCACUUCAACGGAACAGACUACCACACCAACUUCUGGCACUACCACUGAGGCUACCACAGCCGUAGCCAGUACUUCAACUGAACAGACUACCACACCACCUACCAGUAGUACCACUGAGGCUACCACCACAGCAGCCACCACUACAACAGAACUGCCUACCAC
rnacentral:lncRNA from 1 species